CAGAUCAUGUAGUGCAGUGUCAACUUUACAUAUUUUCUUUGAUUCCAUAUUUGUUCAUGUGAACAGACCCAUAAAGAAAGGGUUCAACAUUUUUGCAAUUAUCUAGUGGUGAGUUAGGACCAAAGAAUACUAUGUAGAGCUUUUUGAUCAGGAAUGUACCUUGAUGACAGGGAAGGACAGUGCAAGGAGUCCUUGUGUUAUCAGUAGUCCACGUUUUAACUUGGAAAACACUCAGAACUCCAUCAGUUUCACAUAACACCUAAAGUAUCGGGGAUAUUGUAAAGGGAGGCAGGUUCACAAGGGUGAAGUUACUGUGUGACACAUGAGCUUAUCCUACUUUGUUUUUAAAAGGUGUUAAAAGAAUAGUUUGACAUUUUGUGACAUACUCUCAUCAGCUUUCUGGUGGAGAAUGAGUAGAUUCAACCAACUCAUUUCUAUUUUUUUUAAAUAUAAUAACGUUAGAUUGAAUUCUUGUCAUCCACCGGACGCUCUUUCCUUAUCUUUAAGCUAAGUGAAGCUAAGACGACCGCCCCAUUUUACAUAAGGACCUGAAAUUGAAUUUUUUAUUUUUAUUUUGAUAUAGCUAAUUAUGUACAAGAUUCCCGCAUUUUUACGUUCAGUGAACACAACACCGGUAGUUCCUUGGUUCACCUCAACUUUGAUUGGUUACUAUACGUUGUGGCUAGCCAAUCACGUGGUUCCCUAUUACACGUCCAUGCUGUAAGGGUGCAUUUGGGUACCGGCUUAUUCUCAAGGAUAUCCCCGCAUGUUAGACUAGACAUUAAAUGUGUAUUAGUUAUGUGUGUGGACAGUAUUGGUUAUCUGUGGAGGGCAGUAAUACUCCUAGCUGCGUCUACACUUGGAUUAUAGAAGAAGAAGGCGCUGUCGGGCUUAUGGCCUGCAGACAGUCGCGUUAGCAGAGUUAACGCGACUGAGCUUCUACUUUUCCAAAGUGGGGAAAAAUAUAAGAAAGGCGUCUAAAAGUGAGACUGAUCUAAAGACUGCAGAGAUCUGAUUCACUAGUGUAUUGACCAUAGGACCUGCUGCCUUCAGUUCCAGGAUGUUCCACAAACAGAUGGUUACGCGGAGAAUGAGACGUUAAGGUGUGGAUUGAAACGACAAAAUGGAGCAGGGAGGACCGAGGCACAAGCGAGGGUUACAAGAUCGGAAUCCCAAUGCACCUCACUGGAGACAUGAAAGUGGCUGUUUAAAAAUGCAGCGCUAGACAGACCACACUCCUCCAUCAGAGAAUGGCACACAGAAAACCACACUUCAAAGACAUGAAGCAGACUGACUUCAAUCAAGUCAAGGCAAAGAAAAAAGAGCUAACUCACUUUAUUUGACUCAUUGGAUGCCCUCAGCCAUUCAGCUAUCCUCAUUCAGGUUGUUGAAAAGCAGAGAACAUUUUUACUCUGUGUCAAAGACAGUGUCGUUUGUGGACGGUCUUGAGAAGACAGUGUCAUAAAAUUGAUUGAGGAUCAAAUUCACAGUGUAACCAUCUCCAAGCAGGACGUGAGACCAGUGCAGAAUGUAUGUGAAGAUGGACGCCUUGUCACUGAGGCUAAAUAUUGUGAGUACAGGGGGCGGCCAUCUUUGCUUUACAAUGCAUUUUGCAAACCUGAUUUAACAGAGGCUCUCAGCUUCUUAAAGUGGGGAUAUGAGAACAAAGUCUGCACAAAUCUGAUUUUCACAAGUGCAUAAGCAAAUUAGGAUUAUUUUAAGACGCCUCCCGUGGCCCUUUCCAAAACCCCUCAGUAAGGGAGUGCCAGAGAAACAAAGCUUUUCCUGUUUUAGUGACAAUCUGCAUAAAACUUAUUACAAUAAUCCUUCUGGGCAGAGCUGUUGUUUUCCUCCUUCAGAUCCUUUCUCUAAGGCCCCCGCUGCCUUCCAGUACACAGGAGACGAUUCCAGAAGUUGCAUCCCAGCAGUUUGUUGUCCGUGUUGUUUGAAGUCAGUCCUAGUUGGAAGAGUCUUCUUCAGAGCUUUCAAACAAGCUUUAUUCAAAGCUUCCUCUGAUUUCUUCAGAACACAAAACCUGUUCAGGAGAGAGGUCGCUUCAUUCAGCACUUGAAUGUGGGAGAUGCUGCAUCGCCAUGGAGACAGACCUGUCCUUCUGUCGCUGCUUCAACUGACCUGUGGUUUAUUACGGAGUGUACGAGUGUCAGGACGGCUUCAAAAUGCAAGUGCUGUGGCCUGAAUGUGACACAAAAAGCCGUUUGUUGUUUUUCCCUCUACCUCUUCCUCUCUCUUCUGUCCUGAUGAGUCUGCACACCCAUGAGCAGUGUAUCCUCAUGCAUAACCGUACAAGCAGUUUUGUUCUCUGCACAAACAGGAGGCCCCUGUUUUCCCACAAACUUAUCAGAGGGGGACGAUAGGGGAACCUGAGGAGUAAAUCUGACAAAAGUCUUGUAUGCUCGCUGUCAGCGAUUCUGUUUGUGAAGCUCGGUAUUGGCACAGCUCAGCGACAGGCAAGGAGCAAAACAACAGGAAGACAUUUCAUUUUCUCAGAGGGUGAGGAUACAGCCCAGAUGGUCAGAUCUGACUUCCAACACUCACUCCAAUGAAUGUUGUAUCCCUUAUAAUCCCAGGUAUGUUGCAUGUUUGAUCAUUUGUUGCUCCCUCCUCUCUUGGCUUCCUCAGAUGCGGUGGCAGUGUUCUUGAAGUGGCAGACAACUUUGGCAGUUCCUCUGAAUCUUUAACGCUUGUCCUUAUUUCCUCUCCAAAGCGGCUGCCUUUGAAGUCUGGCCGAGGGGAUUGCUCCACUCCGCCUCACUAACUUCUAAAGUGUUUCUGAUCUGCGGUGAUGGCAGGGUCCUAAUUAAGUGGAAUUCAACUUACUUCAUCUUGUAAUUAUGAAGCCGGUGAAAGAGGGGCUCGCUCUGGAGUGAGUGUAAAUACAAACAGAUGGAGGAGGAGGAGGGAGAGCAGCUUUUUGUGUAUGUGAUUUUCAAAAAAAGCCACAGAAAUCCAUUUGCAUUCUUGAGCCAUAGAGAUCCACACUAGUCACUGCUAUCUGCAGAUUAAAUGAAGAUAUUUCCUCUGUAGGGCUGUUGUGAAAGACAGACUCGACACAGUCCGAUGCCUUCAUUCGUGUCUAAGAGUAGAAUGAUUUAUUCACAAACAAGUGGUUAUGAUGGCAUUUAUCAUUUAUUUUGAAAAGACUCAAGUGGCCGCUGCAGAGAGGUAGUGACACAACAGCAGCAUUUUUAAUCUGCGAGGUUGUUUGACUUGGCUGCAAUGCCCAAAAUAUCUCAGCUGUGAGCUCAUAUCGAAAGGCCUGAGGGAUCAAGAAGCAACAGAGUCAUUCAGCAGUCGAUGGGGCAUACUGUUGAUUUGGAGUUUUGUCCCUCGCGUUCAGCCUGUCACAUCCCAUCAGAGCAAGACGGGCCUCAAAGCUCAGGCUCAUUUUUAGCUCUGAUGGGAACUUUUGUAGAAGUCUCUGGUCAGCUGAGGCUAUGAGGAGUCACUGGCUGGUGGCGAGAAGGUGAUGAUCAGUGGAGGAUUAAGCUGGUGACACAGUAUGUAGGUCUCCGAGCUCGCAGGGAUGAGCGGUACAGGCCAGGGCAGCGGGGCAGGGCUGCAAUCAGCCUUUCUACUCUGCCCCUGCUUACACUAAUUACAUUACUCCUGGGGAUAUGGGAUAAUCAAAUCUUAAUGAGGUGUGGAAGACUUCAGUGCUGCUCUUGACGUGUUAGUCUGUGCCUACAGGUGCUGAACCUCUCGAUUUCCAGAAGUCUCUGCAGGAAUUGUACAUGAUGCAGCAGCAAAACACAUUUGAAAGCAGUUUCAAACUAAAGCUGUUAUCCAUGUAAGACACUAUUAGGUCUACUGUAAUGAAGCGAAGUGAUAAAGAACAGCACUGAGACCCAGGUUCACCUCUGCUCUCGGCAUUGUUUGGAUUUCUUGAAUUUAUUCAGAUGUAAUUGAAAGAAUAAUUGUUUUGCUUUUAAUGCUGCCUGAGGUUUACUUGAAGAUGAUCCACAGUCAUACAGUAGUAAUCUGAGCCAGAUAUUCAGUGCAUUACCUUUUCCCAUUUUACUAUGGCAUUUUGGCAGCAAACUGAUCUGACUGGAAGGAUUUAGUAGGUGGAAACAAGUCCAGCUGUGAUUUAGUUAGUCAUAGUGGUGGGAUGAUGGGUUUUUAAAAGCACAUUUGAUUUGAUUUAUUCAUUCAAGCAUGUAAAACAGUUGAUAUGUCAACACAU